UUGGGUAAGUGCUUCCAUGCUUCAGUUUCCGUACUGGUAAGAUGGAUGUAGUAAUAGCACCUACCUUAUAGA
ensembl:miRNA